rnacentral:rRNA from 1 species
UACAGAGGUCCCAAGCGUUGUUCGGAUUCACUGGGCGUAAAGGGUGCGUAGGCGGUCGGGUAAGUCUGAUGUGAAAUCUCCAAGCUUAACUUGGAAAUGGCAUCGGAUACUAUUCGGCUCGAGGAAUGGAGGGGAGACUGGAAUACUUGGUGUAGCAGUGAAAUGCGCAGAUAUCAGGAGGAACACCGGUGGCGAAGGCGGGUCUCUGGGCCGAUACUGACGCUGAGGAGCGAAAGCGUGGGGAGCGAACAGG